GGGGUAAUCACGUGAUGAUCUAAAGGAAGUCAAGAUGGCGACGUCCGUGUCGAAACAGGACAACGUGUGGCCGAUCAAAUUGCUUCCACAAGAAUAACAACUGCAUGGGGUACGAUGGCAAAGAAGAAUGGUCAUGUUCAAAAGUAUAGGUUCCGACAUCAAGACCAAGCCAGGCAGGAUUCAUCAUCCACUGCGAGGAUGCCUGGAGAACGAUUACGACGAAGUUCUCCGAUGGAGGCAAAACGUAUAUCACCAUGAACAUCGUAUAUCAUCAUGAACACUUAUCUAUCAAAUCUCCUUCAAAAAUAAAAUUCAAAUCUGAAAGAACUUUUGUUUUCACCUAGAAAGAAAGAAAUAUAAGAUUAUACGACAAAAUAAAAGUAACAGGUAAUGCAUGCGGUAACGUGUUUGAAGACUUAUAUAUCCAUAGAAUGCCAUCAAAUACUUAAAAUACCGACAGAUUAUCCAGAAACGAAGGCGAUGUUGGAACCUUCAGAAACACAGCUUCUAUGUGUUACAGAAGACCGCAUGUCAAAUAAAGUGAAUAAUGGUACUGAAUCAAGACUACUAAAUCUAAAAUUAAAGGUCAUGAGAAUAACAUUAAACAAUAUAUAAGAGUUUCUUAAUUAAGAAGCAGUCAACAUAAAUUAAGACAGAGGCAGAUACAUAGUUUUAACAGUAUCGGCAUAUAUGUUUAGUGCUUUAUUGCUGUUGUCUUUGCCUAUUUAGACGUGUGUAGAUGUGUAAAUGCUUUACCGAAUUGGCAGGCCCUGCACGACCCUCGAACUCACUAGCCGUGUCAUCCUGGGGGCAUUUUUUCGACGUGUACUUUGAGCAACACGUGUCGCACAUACAGUUUCAUAGAUUCGAAUUGUGCACAACAGUUUCCCACACUGGAAGCAUGCCUAGCGGACCGCCUCUCCGUGAAUAUGAUAUCUUAAAAAACAAAAAGAUUGUAAAUUUAACUAGUUAGCAGUUGUCAGAUUUUCAACUACUCGAGAUUAUUUAGCUUGUGCGCUAGCUGUAUACAUUUGUGAGAACGUAUGCCUAUAAACCACUCACUGUUCUGAAAGAUGAAUAUAAAGCUCACAAUGUUAUAGACUUUUAACAACGAAAAAAAAAAUCAUCAUCAAAAUUCGUCAUACAACUUAUUCACAAGUAAUAAUUUUAAUACAGUUCUUAGCAACUUGUCUAAUGUAUAACAAGGUAACAAGGCACCAACACAUCGAGAUCUUUUUCACAUGAUUGCUAGCAAUAUAUGUUCAUUUUUAGUUUGUCCUUGUCAUAAAACAUCUUCCCGCAACACCGGCAUGGGGCUUGUCCUUUGUGUUACAUGACGCCUGAAGCCACUCCUUGACUGAAACUGUCGGCCACACUCAGUCCAAAGACGCGUCGUGUUUGAGUUCGAUUCCAUAUUUGCCUGGAAAGUUUGGUUUCAUAUUUAAAAACAUACUUUGUUGAUUAUUUACAGCAUUUACGUGUUUACAUGUUAACAUUACCUGAAAUAUGUGUAGCAAAACCUAGCAAAAUAAAUCAACAACUAAGGGUGACAU